rnacentral:rRNA from 1 species
GAUGAACGCUAGCGGCAGGCCUAAUACAUGCAAGUCGAACGGAUGACCUUCGGGUCAUUAGUGGCGCACGGGUGCGUAACGCGUAAGCAACCUACCUACUACUGGGGGAUAGCCCUGGGAAACCGGGAGUAAACCCGCAUGGUAUCACUGACCUUCCUGGGUUGAUGAUUAAAGAUUUAUUGGUAGUAGAUGGGCUUGCGUUGGAUUAGCUAGAUGGCGGGGUAACGGCCCACCAUGGCGAUGAUCCAUAGGGGCUCUGAGAGGAGCGGCCCCCACACUGGCACUGAGACACGGGCCAGACUCCUACGGGAGGCAGCAGUAGGGAAUAUUGGGCAAUGGACGAAAGUCUGACCCAGCCAUGCCGCGUGCAGGAUGAAGGCGCUCAGCGUUGUAAACUGCUUUUGAUAGGGAAGAACGGCCUUCUUGCGAGAAGGUGUGACGGUACCUACAGAAUAAGCACCGGCUAACUCCGUGCCAGCAGCCGCGGUAAAAC